rnacentral:lncRNA from 1 species
GCCGACCGCCACCUACCAAGAUUACCCUUCCCAACGAUGAACCACCAUCACCGGCUCUCUCCACCAUGGUAUAUCUCUCUCCAUCACCACUGAAUUUUCCCCCAAAGCCCUAUCUCUUUCGCUGAUUACUUGCCUUAUCUCACUAAAAGAUUUAAGGAUAUCGGCUAAAGGAACCUCAAAAUAAGGAACAAUUUUAGGGAAGCUACAUUGAUUCCAUAGGUGAAGCCAGAGGAAAUAAUAGCUAUUAUCAGUGACUUCAAUGAGCCUGGCUCGCUUGCUCCAACUGGCUUACCGCUUACACCUUGGUGGGACCAAAUAUAUGGUGAUUCAAGGCGAGGCAGGAGCUGUUAUUCGAGGCAAAAAGUGA